rnacentral:rRNA from 1 species
AGCCGGUCUUGAGAGGGAUUGUCGCCAACUGGACUGGAACCUGCGGUCUCCUUACCGAGCAGCAUUGGAAAUAUUGGACAUUGGCGAGCCUGAUUCCAGCAUGCGCCGUAGUGGAGAAGGCCCUUUUGUUGUAAAGCACGUUAGCGAGAGAAGCUACUGAGACUAUACUCUUGGAUAGUGGACGUUACUCGCAGAAUAAGCACCGGCUACUUCUGUGCCAGCAGCCGCGGUAAUACAGAGGGUGCGAGCGUUAAUCGGAUUUACUGGGCGUAAAGCGUGCGUAGGCGGCUUUUUAAGUCGGAUGUGAAAUCCCUGAGCUUAACUUAGGAAUUGCAUUCGAUACUGGGAAGCUAGAGUAUGGGAGAGGAUGGUAGAAUUCCAGGUGUAGCGGUGAAAUGCGUAGAGAUCUGGAGGAAUACCGAUGGCGAAGGCAGCCAUCUGGCCUAAUACUGACGCUGAGGUACGAAAGCAUGGGGAGCAAACAGGAUUAGAUACCCUGGUAGUCCAUGCCGUAAACGAUGUCUACUAGCCGUUGGGGCCUUUGAGGCUUUAGUGGCGCAGCUAACGCGAUAAGUAGACCGCCUGGGGAGUACGGUCGCAAGACUAAAACUCAAAUGAAUUGACGGGGGCCCGCACAAGCGGUGGAGCAUGUGGUUUAAUUCGAUGCAACGCGAAGAACCUUACCUGGUCUUGACAUAGUAAGAACUUUCCAGAGAUGGAUUGGUGCCUUCGGGAACUUACAUACAGGUGCUGCAUGGCUGUCGUCAGCUCGUGUCGUGAGAUGUUGGGUUAAGUCCCGCAACGAGCGCAACCCUUUUCCUUAUUUGCCAUCGGGUUAAGCCGGGAACUUUAAGGAUACUGCCAGUGACAAACUGGAG